rnacentral:rRNA from 1 species
CAUGCCUAACACAUGCAAGUCGAACGAAGCCUUCGGGCUUAGUGGCGCACGGGUGCGUAACGCGUGGGAACCUGCCUUUAGGUUCGGAAUAACAGUUAGAAAUGACUGCUAAUACCGGAUGAUGUCUUCGGACCAAAGAUUUAUCGCCUAAAGAUGGGCCCGCGUUGGAUUAGCUAGUUGGUGGGGUAAAGGCCUACCAAGGCGACGAUCCAUAGCUGGUCUGAGAGGAUGAUCAGCCACACUGGGACUGAGACACGGCCCAGACUCC